rnacentral:rRNA from 1 species
CACGUAGGGCGCAAGCGUUGUCCGGAAUUAUUGGGCGUAAAGAGCUCGUAGGCGGUCUGUUGCGUCCGCUGUGAAAACCCGGGGCUUAACCCCUGGCUUGCAGUGGAUACGGACAGACUAGAGGUAGGUAGGGGAGAAUGGAAUUCCCGGUGUAGCGGUGAAAUGCGCAGAUAUCGGGAGGAACACCGGUGGCGAAGGCGGUUCUCUGGGCCUGUACUGACGCUCAUGCACGAAAGCGUGGGGAGCAAACAGG